CGGAAGGAUCUUCCUGGUCCUGCCCCGCCCCUCCCGGGCUGUCCAUCACCACCCCUCCGGCCCCCGCCGGAAAGAGGACCUGGAGGAAAAGACCCCUCAGGCUCCGGCCGCAGCUCCACCCGCAGGGGCCGUGGGAAGCGGGCGCUCCGGGGAGGAUGCCGCGCCCAGUAGGGGUCGACCCGAAGAGGGGGUCCCCUCCGGGGGGGGACCUGCCCGGGGCUGGGCGAGGGUAUGAGUUCCCGGCUCCCCCACAUCCAUCACCCUCAGGCCACGCUGAGCUUCCUGGACGCGGAAGCCUAGGCCCCAGCACCGCUGCACCUGCCGGCCGGGCACCCCACUAACGCGGCAUCCCGAGAAGGGCCGACUUCCAGGACGACGCAGCUGCGUGCACACAGCCCCCCUUGGCCCGGUGCGGCGGCCCGCAGGGGAGAACGAGCUUGCAGGGUGCGGGUGCGGGCCGCUGGGGCCGAUCUGGCGUCGCAGAACCCGGGGUCCACACCGUCCAGGCUGCGGCCGCGACGACCCCCUGCCAGGCGCCGGUCUCCUCCGGGAGGGCUCCAGCCCGCGCCACCUCCAGGCACAGGGCGCCCUCGUAACUCCCAAUGAAAGUCCUGCGGGAAACGGUUCCCGACCUCGCCAGGCUGGGGGCAGAAGCGACGGGAUGACGCGGAUUGUAAUCGGAAGGAGGAAGACGAAAGCCAGCGCAGAGUUUCCCCAGAAAACAGGAGCCAGAUGGUGCGAAUCCAACAGACUCCACGUGAAAUCAGCCACACCAAAGGUCAGGAGAUCUGUGUGGAGAGAAACUUUCAGAGAAGGCAACCAGGGCACAUCUCUGUUUUAAAACCAUCUCCUGGGCCGGGCACUGUGGCUCACGCCUGUAAUCCCAGCACUUUGGGAGGCUGAGAUGGGCAGAUCACUUGAGGCCAGGAGUUUGAGACCAGCCUGGCCAACAGGGUGAAACCCAAUCUCUACUAAAAAUACAAAAAUUAGCCAGGUAUGUUGCCCAUCUAUAAUUCCAGCUACUCAGGAGGCUGAGGCACGGGAAUCCCUUGAACCGGAGAGGCGGAGGUUGCAAUGAGCCGAGAUCGUGUCACUGAACUCCAGCCUGUGUGACAGAGCGAGUCUCUGUCUCAAAAAACAAAACGAAACAAAACCCACAAAAAUAAAACCAUCUCCCUACCAUGAGCCCUCCACAUUUGCAAUUCAUGAAAAUGGAAAGCUGUCAUGUCCCCACGUGAAUUUUCGGGUCUCACUAGAAAGAUAACCAUCAGGACCGGCAACAUGGGAUUCAACAACAGUUUCUGGUCUAAUUUUUUAAAAAGGACGAAAGAAGGCAGGCUGGUGUCAUGCAAUACUGCUUGCAUUAAAGUAUGUACAUUUAAACUAUGUACCUUGAACUUUUAUUGGAAAAGCGAAGCUCAGUAGUAAAAAUUUACGUUAAUCAAAUUCAUGGAGACAGAAAGUUGCAUGGGAGUUGCCAAGGGCUGGGGAAAGCAAUGCCCACUCCACCUUCAGCUCUGUGAAUUUGGGGAGUCA
rnacentral:lncRNA from 10 species